rnacentral:rRNA from 1 species
AUGGGUUCUCCAAUCCCUAGCCUCUCAUUUCCUCCCACACGCCGUCUCGCCUCUCUUUGCCCCAUAUCGAUGGCGCCUCGGUGUUGCGGCGGCGUCGAGUGCCUAUAUCGUCCUAAUCUCCUCAAGCCAGGGCCUCGCGCACACCAGCGCCUGCCCCAUCGGGAGCGACCUGCCCACUCACAUGCGCGGCGAGCGCGCCGCCGUCGCCCGGUCGCCGACGUCCUGAUCCACUACGCCGUGACCAUCUUCAUCGUUGACCCCGCCUUCGCCGCCAGGGCAACUGGUCCUUCCUAUCGCUCCAUGGCCUCGCGGCCGAGGUGCCUGGUGCGUCCUUUUGCCGCCUUCCACACCAGCGGCGUGGACAGGGUGGUGUGUACCGGUUCUAGAUGUGGUCGACGCCGACGAGUACCGGGUACAUGUGAUUGA